rnacentral:rRNA from 1 species
AUCGGUGUCUAGCUAACGCAUCGAGUUGUAAUUUGGAAGUGCAACUUCCCAGUGAAUCACAUAGUAAGUUCCUUGGAACAGGNCGUCAUAGAGGGUGAGAACCCCGUGUCNCGAUGUCGCGUCAAACCAUGUGAAGUGUCUCCGUCGAGUCGAGUUGUAAGGGAAUGCAGCUCAAAAUGGGUGGUAAAUUUCAUCUAAAGCUAAAUAUUGGCGAGAGACCGAUAGCGCACAAGUAGAGUGAUCGAAAGAUCAAAAGCACUAUGAAAAGAGAGUCAAAAAGUACGUGAAAUUGUUGAAAGGCAAGCGCUUGCGACCAGUCUCGAUCUUGGGCGAUCCUCCGGGCUUCGGUNCGGUGCACUCGCCAUUGAUUGGGCCAGCAUCGGUUCCGACGGCAGGAUAAAAGUAGGAGGAAUUUGGCUCCCCCUCGGGGAGUGUUAUAACCACCUUCACAAUGCUGCCAGUUCGGACCGAGGACCGCGCUUCGGUUAGGAUGCUGGUGUAAUGGUCUUAAGCGACC